rfam:Pteropus alecto contig87830, whole genome shotgun sequence.
CCAAAGGCUCUUUUCAGAGCCACCCACAAACGCACUGGGAAGAAG